rnacentral:rRNA from 1 species
CCUACGGGUGGCAGCAGUGGGGAAUAUUGCACAAUGGGGGAAACCCUGAUGCAGCGACGCCGCGUGAGUGAAGAAGUAUUUCGGUACGUAAAGCUCUAUCAGCAGGGAAGAAAAUGACGGUACCUGACUAAGAAGCCCCGGCUAACUACGUGCCAGCAGCCGCAGUAAUACGUAGGGGGCAGGCGUUAUCCGGAUUUACUGGGUGUAAAGGGAGCGUAGACGGCAGCGCAAGUCUGGAGUGAAAUCCCAUGGCUUAACCAUGGAACUGCUUUGGAAACUGUGCAGCUAGAGUGCAGGAGAGGUAAGCGGAAUUCCUAGUGUAGCGGUGAAAUGCGUAGAUAUUAGGAGGAACACCAGUGGCGAAGGCGGCUUACUGGACUGUAACUGACGUUGAGGCUCGAAAGCGUGGGGAGCAAACAGGAUUAGAUACCCCAGUAGUC